rnacentral:rRNA from 1 species
CGAUACUGAUAGUGGCGCACGGGUGCGUAACACGUAACUAACCUACCCAGAACUGGGGGAUAGCCCGCCGAAAGGCGGAUUAAUACCGCAUAAGAUAGCAGCCUGGCAUCAGGUAGUUAUUAAAGAUUNAUUGGUUUUGGAUGGGGUUGCGGGUCAUUAGCUAGUUGGUAAGGUAACGGCUUACCAAGGCGACGAUGACUAGGGGAGCUGAGAGGCUGGUCCCCCACACGGGCACUGAGAUACGGGCCCGACUCCUACGGGAGGCAGCAGUAGGGAAUAUUGGGCAAUGGGCGAGAGCCUGACCCAGCCAUGCCGCGUGCAGGAAGAAGGCUUUCUGAGUCGUAAACUGCUUUUGACAGGGAAGAAUAAGCUGGUCGUGACCAGUGAUGACGGUACCUGCAGAAUAAGCACCGGCUAACUCCGUGCCAGCAGCCGCGGUAAUACGGAGGGUGCGAGCGUUGUCCGGAUUUAUUGGGUUUAAAGGGUGCGUAGGCGGCCCGUUAAGUCCGGGGUGAAAGCCCGCUGCUCAACAGCGGAACUGCCCUGGAUACUGACGGGCUUGAGUACAGACGAGGUUGGCGGAAUGGACUGAGUAGCGGUGA